UAAAAGCGCUGGAAUAAUUCAGUGGCGAAAAAAACCACGAUCGGUUUUUUUUUUUUCAAAUUAUUUUGUUGCGUAAUUAUGAUAAAUCGAGAAACUAGUGGGAACGUAUAGGUUAGCCAUCAGGGAAAGGAGGGGCUGGAUCUGUUGUUGCUGCUGUUGUUGUGGAGUUUUCGGCAAAAUACUCGUUGUUCCUGACACCACUCGAGUCGUACCAUCGGAGGCUGAACCACGAUAACAUUGUAUUCGUCAAUGAAAAGUCGAAAUUUUCAAGUGUCAAAAAAGCUGAUUUCUCAGGGAACGCCGUUCCCUUGCCGCUUACCAAUUGUUCAGACACCGACGAGCUACUACCUCGAUUGAGACCAAUAACAACUGAUUGCUGCGGCCCCGAACGACUCCUAGUAAUAAUCUGGGCAUUAGCCUUCUCUAACCUGGAUACACGAGACAAACACACCAACGCCGCGGAAAGCUCACGGUACAGGGCGACUUCCAUCUCGUUCUUGUCCAGACUCGACAUGAGCUCCUCGAACUGCAAUGGUGUGCUGUAAUACCACACUUGGCCAUCUUCGCUCUCUCUGCAAGAUAAGGAAACUCCGUGUUCGGUGAGCAAGGCUAUACUACGACUUACACGAAAACACGUCUGGCUAAAAACCAGUAUUUACGACCGUGCCGAUCGAAGCCGAGAUGUUCUUGUCGACAAAGC